AGGUACCGCAUUUGGUUUCUGUUUUCAUCCAUGGGUGGGCACGUGACUUGUUCCACUGUCCGGCCCUCACGAAUGGUGCAGCGGUGAGCAGGGUGUACCAGCGGCUGUAGGACCUACGUUUUCAGACUCGGAGGCAGCGAACACUUUGAGUUAGAGGAAGAACCCUGGGCACGAGAAGUCUGUUUGUUCUAAAGGCAAGACCAUGGAGGGAUUCCAGGUGCCAAAACGAUUAGUGGCCAAGAAGACGCAUUUCCAGGAUUUGAUCAGGAAGAGGCAAUCAGGACACAGUCAGCACAGAGGGAAGCCCACGUGAGGAUACAGGGAGGAGACGGCGUCCACACAGCAAGGAAGGGCCUCCGGAGGAACCAGCCCUGCCAGCACCUUGAUCUCGGA